UAGGGAAUCUUCCGCAAUGGGCGAAAGCCUGACGGAGCAACGCCGCGUGAGUGAUGAAGGUCUUCGGAUCGUAAAACUCUGUUAUCAGGGAAGAACAAAUGUGUAAGUAACUGUGCACAUCUUGACGGUACCUGAUCAGAAAGCCACGGCUAACUACGUGCCAGCAGCCGCGGUAAUACGUAGGUGGCAAGCGUUGUCCGGAUUUAUUGGGCGUAAAGCGAGCGCAGGCGGUCAAUUAAGUCUGAUGUGAAAGCCCCCGGCUCAACCGGGGAGGGUCAUUGGAAACUGGUUGACUUGAGUGCAGAAGAGGAGAGUGGAAUUCCAUGUGUAGCGGUGAAAUGCGUAGAUAUAUGGAGGAACACCAGUGGCGAAGGCGACUCUCUGGUCUGUAACUGACGCUGAGGCUCGAAAGCGUGGGUAGCAAACAGG
rnacentral:rRNA from 1 species